UAGGGAAUCUUCCACAAUGGACGAAAGUCUGAUGGAGCAACGCCGCGUGAGUGAAGAAGGUUUUCGGAUCGUAAAGCUCUGUUGUUGGUGAAGAAGGAUAGAGGCAGUAACUGGUCUUUAUUUGACGGUAAUCAACCAGAAAGUCACGGCUAACUACGUGCCAGCAGCCGCGGUAAUACGUAGGUGGCAAGCGUUGUCCGGAUUUAUUGGGCGUAAAGCGAGCGCAGGCGGAAUGAUAAGUCUGAUGUGAAAGCCCACGGCUCAACCGUGGAACUGCAUCGGAAACUGUCAUUCUUGAGUGCAGAAGAGGAGAGUGGAACUCCAUGUGUAGCGGUGGAAUGCGUAGAUAUAUGGAAGAACACCAGUGGCGAAGGCGGCUCUCUGGUCUGCAACUGACGCUGAGGCUCGAAAGCAUGGGUAGCGAACAGGAUUAGAUACCCUGGUAGUCCAUGCCGUAAACGAUGAGCGCUAGGUGUUGGGGACUUUCCGGUCCUCAGUGCCGCAGCAAACG
rnacentral:rRNA from 1 species